rnacentral:rRNA from 1 species
UACGAAGGGGGCUAGCGUUGCUCGGAAUCACUGGGCGUAAAGCGCACGUAGGCGGAUCGUUAAGUCAGGGGUGAAAUCCUGGAGCUCAACUCCAGAACUGCCUUUGAUACUGGCGACCUUGAGUUCGGGAGAGGUGAGUGGAACUGCGAGUGUAGAGGUGAAAUUCGUAGAUAUUCGCAAGAACACCAGUGGCGAAGGCGGCUCACUGGCCCGAUACUGACGCUGAGGUGCGAAAGC